rfam:Triticum aestivum genome assembly, contig: Triticum_aestivum_CS42_TGACv1_scaffold_557692_7AL
AAAUUACUCCCUCCGUCCUAAAAUUCUUGUCUUAGAUUUGUCUAGAUACGGAUGUAUAUAAUACUAAAAUGUGAGGUUGACAUUUUAGUAUUAGAUACAUCCGUAUCUAGACAAAUCUAAGAUAAGAAAUUUGGGACAGAGGGAGUAGUUG